CUCGCCUGCCGCCGCAGCCCGCGGGCCAGCGCCCCGGGAACACACAGGACCCCUCCCCUACCGGCCUCCCCUCACCCAGCGGCCCGAGAGGGGCCCCUGCUCCCGUGGGCCGCCCGGGGACCCUCACCGGGUGAUCUUGGAGUCCCGGUAGGGGAUGUGGCUGCCGCGGCGCUGGGGGUCGCCCAGGGCGCUGAUGACGUUGCCCAAGGCCAGGAGGCUGCUGUUGAUCUGGAUGCUCUCCUUGAGCCGCUCGCCCGUGCUGCCCGUCUUGAGCACCCUCUCCGAGCCCGCCAGGUCCACGAAGUGGAACUUGGAGACGAGCAGCUGGCCGGCGGCCGGUCGGGGCAUGCGGCUGGGGGCGCGGCCCCGCUGCUCCAGGGUCACGGUGAAGACAGUGUGGGAGCGGCUGGACAGGCGGUUGAGGUGCGUGGCCCCGGUGUGACGCGCCGCGUUGCCCAUCUCCAGGAGACUCAGCACCUCGUCCAGGCCCUCGACGUCCACCUCCUUCACGCCACACAGCACUGCGGGCAUGGAAGGCUGUGAGCUCGGGGUAGGACACGUGCACCAGACAGUCAAGCAGGUCAUUCUCAUCGAUAAGCUUGAAGGCUUCAGCCAUGGCCCGGGGGAUGAUGCCCUGCUCGUCCUCAUGAAGGGAAGCUAGGGAGACACCACAGAGCUCCUGCCACCAUGCCUUCAGACGGACAUGGCUCAAGGCCCCGAGGCCCCUGCCAGCAACUGGAGGAUGGAGCUCCAGCAUGCACGUAGCAGCAGAGGCCAGGAUGGCUGGGUAGCCUGAGCCGGGCCAUGCUCCAGGAUGGUCAGGCAGAUUUAUAGAAUUUCAGAGUUGGAAGCAACCUCUCAAGAUUCCACCAACCCCUUUCAUAUUGUAAGCAUCCCCUUCACUACAUUCCUGCUAGAUCAUCAGAUACCCCUGGCUUGAUUACUCCCUGGGGCAGGGAGCUCAUUGCUAUAAUCUAUGCUCAGUUAUAUAAAGGACCUCCUAGGGGCAGCUGGGUGGCUCAGUUCGUUAAGCAUCUGCUUUUGGCUGAGGUCAUGAUCCCAGGGUCCUGGGAUUGAGCCCCACAUUAGGCUCCCUGCUUAGCAGAGAGCUGCUUCUCCCUCUACCUCUGCCCCUCCCCCUAUUUAUGUGCUUUCUCUAAAAUAAAAUCUUAAAAAUAAAUAAAAGGAAAGACUUCUUAAAUGUAACCCAAAAAAGUAAUGAGAGGAUAUUCAGAGCAGCACUCUUCAUAACUUCAAAAAAAUGCAACCAUCCUAAGACCCAAUAGAGGAUGCAGUUAAAUAAACUAUCUUAUAUGCACAAUGGAAUACCAAACCAUCAUUAAAAAACUGGCUUGAAGUA